GAUGAAGAACGUAGCAAAAUGCGAUACUUGGUGUGAAUUGCAGAAUCCCGUGAACCAUCGAGUUUUUGAACGCAAGUUGCGCCCGAAGCCUUUUGGCCGAGGGCACGUCUGCCUGGGCGACACGCAUCGCGUCGCCCCCCACAAUUCUCCGUAAAAGGAACAUGUGUUUUGGGGGCGGAUAUUGGUCUCCCGUGCUCAUGGCGUGGUUGGCCGAAAUAGGAGUCCUUUCGAUGGACGCACGAACUAGUGGUGGUCGUAAAAACCCUCGUCUUUUGUUUCGUGCUGUUGCUCGCAAGGUAAACUCUUUAAAAACCCCAAUGUGUCGUCUCUUGACGACGCUUCGACCGCGACCCCAGGUCAGGCGGGACUACCCGCUGAGUUUAAGCAUAUCAAUAAGCGGAGGA
rnacentral:misc_RNA from 1 species